rnacentral:rRNA from 1 species
GACGAACGCUGGCGGCGUGCUUAACACAUGCAAGUCGAACGGUGAAGCUCCAGCUUGCUGGAGUGGAUCAGUGGCGAACGGGUGAGUAACACGUGAGCAACCUGCCCCUGACUCUGGAAUAAGCGCUGGAAACGGCGUCUAAUACUGGAUACGAGAAGGGUCCGCAUGGGCACUUUCUGGAAAGUUGUUCGGUUGGGGAUGGGCUCGCGGCCUAUCAGCUUGUUGGUGAGGUAAUGGCUCACCAAGGCGACGACGGGUAGGCGGCCUGGGAGGGCGGCCGGCCACACUGGGACUGAGGCACGGCCCAGACUCCUACGGGAGGCAGCAGUGGGGAAUAUUGCACAAUGGGCGAAAGCCUGAUGCAGCGACGCCGCGUGAGGGAUGACGGCCUUCGGGUUGUAAACCUCUUUCAGCAGGGAAGAAGCGAAAGUGACGGUACCUGCAGAAGAAGCACCGGCUAACUACGUG